rnacentral:rRNA from 1 species
AACGGCGAGWGAAGCGGUAAAAGCUCAAAUUUGAAAUCUGGUACUUUCAGUGCCCGAGUUGUAAUUUGUAGAAUUUGUCUUUGAUUAGGUCCUUGUCUAUGUUCCUUGGAACAGGACGUCAUAGAGGGUGAGAAUCCCGUUUGGCGAGGAUACCUUUUCUCUGUAAGACUUUUUCGAAGAGUCGAGUUGUUUGGGAAUGCAGCUCAAAGUGGGUGGUAAAUUCCAUCUAAAGCUAAAUAUUGGCGAGAGACCGAUAGCGAACAAGUACAGUGAUGGAAAGAUGAAAAGAACUUUGAAAAGAGAGUGAAAAAGUACGUGAAAUUGUUGAAAGGGAAGGGCAUUUGAUCAGACAUGGUGUUUUUUGCAUGCACUCGCCUCUCGUGGGCUUGGGCCUCUCAAAAAUUUCACUGGGCCAACAUCAAUUCUGGCAGCAGGAUAAAUCAUUAAGAAUGUAGCUACUUCGGUAGUGUUAUAGCUUUUUGGAAUACUGUUAGCCGGGAUUGAGGACUGCGCUCGGCAAGGA